rnacentral:rRNA from 1 species
AUGGCGGCAAGAGCGAGAUACCUCCUUCCGCCCACCCUCCACACCGGGACCUCCAUAGUCGGCCGUGGCGGGUUGCCUGGGGUGUGGUUCCCCAUCCCGAACAUGGAGGACGCGUGCAUCCAAGAGCUCGGCCGGUGGGCGCUGGCACAACACAUGUGCCUGGCGACCCCUAGUGGGCUGCAAUUUCGCCGAGUGACGGGCGGCGAACAACAGGUAAUUUCCGGGGUGAAAUAUCGCCUCGUCGUGGACGCGGCGGACAACUGUGGCAGGACCAUGCGCUAUCUCGCGGUGGUAUACGAGAAGCCCUGGACCAACACUCGUCGGCUCACCUCCUUCGGGCCGGCGGCCUGCACCUAG